GCCAGACGAGAUAAGUGAAGUCAUGAGCAGCAGCAGACUACCCAAAAGUCAUGUAAAUAUUUACAGCACCAGUUGAGUUGUUAUAUUUUGUAACUGACAAAAAAAAAAAAAUUAAAUUCAUUCUGCUACAUUUCCCGAAGGCGAAGGUUUCAGAACCAGACUGCAUGUAGCAACUGUGUGAUGCACUCUUGGUGCUGCAUCGUGGAGAGAGAGAGGCUGGCAGAGACCGGCGUGUCCAUUUCUAAUGCGCCCAGCACGGAUGAGUUGGGGACUAUGUGGUGCCCAGAAGAGGAGGUUGGUGCUGGGGGUCAUUGUCCUGUUGCUUGUGGACGUAAUCUGGGUCGCUUCAUCCGAACUCACUGUAUAUGUGUUUGUGCAGCAGCAAUACAGCAAGCCCUUUUUCAGCACGUUUGUGAAGACCUCCAUGUUCAUACUGUACCUGCUGGGCUUCCUGUUCUGGAAACCAUGGAGACAGCAAUGUGCAACCCAACAGCAAAGUGGCAUAUCCAUUUCUGAUGCUGACUCACUUGUGACUGCUGCUGGCACUGAAAACAGCUUUAAUAAUUCCCUAAGUGAGCCUCUGUAUGUGCCAGUGAAGUUUCAGGAUGUUGCUGAUAUCAGUGUCAGUCGAGAGGCUAAGACUCCUGUGAGGAAGCAGCGUGUGAGGUUCAGUAAUGUGAUGGAGGUACGUGAACUUCCUCACUCUCAGGCUUUAGAAGCCAAACUGUCUCGCAUGUCUCAUGCAGCCACCUCACUCAGGAUUAUGGGAAAACUUGGCAUCAGUGCUGUGGCCAAAAUCAGCUUCUUCUUCUGUUUUGUGUGGUUCCUAGCUAAUCUGGCCUAUCAGGAGGCUCUGACAGACACGCAGGUGGCCAUCGUAAACAUUUUGUCCUCCACCUCAGGCCUCUUCACUUUGAUCUUGGCCUCCAUAUUUCCCAGCAAUAGCAAUGAUCGUUUCACACUUUCCAAACUGCUUGCUGUUAUUCUCAGCAUGGUGGGAGUGGCUGUGGUCAGUUUCUCAGGGAUGGAUAGUUCUGGUGGAAAAGGCACUAUUGGCUAUCUCUGGUCACUGCUGAGUGCGCUCCUAUACGCAGUCUACAUCGUUAUGCUAAAGAGAAAUGUUGAUCGAGAGGAAAAGCUUGAUAUCCCAAUGUUCUUCGGCUUUGUGGGCUUGUUUAGCCUGCUGCUGUUAUGGCCUGGCUUCGUGCUGCUCCAUUACUCUGGGUUGGAGCUGUUCGAGAUGCCUAAUCAGAUGGUAAUCAUCUACAUCCUCAUCAACGGCCUGAUAGGGACUGUGCUCUCUGAGUUCCUCUGGUUAUGGGGCUGUUUUCUCACUUCAUCUCUCAUUGGGACACUGGCUCUGAGCUUAACAAUUCCACUGUCCAUCGUGACUGAUAUAUGCUUGCAGAAGACGAGUUUCUCUUGGUUAUUCUUUGCUGGAGCAGUUCCAGUUUUUCUCUCCUUCUUCCUGACUGCACUCCUGAGCCACUACAAUAACUGGGACCCGGCGAUGGUGGCACUGCGGAGAGUUUUCUCCUUUAUCUGCCGCAAACACAGGAUUCACAGAUUAGCAGAGGACAGUGAGCAGUGUGAGAGUCUCAUCCCUUUACAGAGCUCUGCCCUCGAUAACAGGGGUUUUUGCUCUUGAUUAACAUUUUAAGAGAGAAAAAAUAUGAGGAUCAUGCCUCAGCUUGAAUCAUCACUCACCUACUGUACACACAGGAACCGAGAAGCAGAAAAUGACAAUCUGAAACCUGCCAUUGUGCCUCGUGUCACUUCCUCCUCUUCCCCACAUAUAUUGAAGACCCUGUGAUUGACCAUUCUUAAUCCUCAUUGUGUUGGCUGUGAUAUCUCAGGGCCAGAAAAACCACACCCAGGCAAGCAGCUUUCAUCGGCCGUGAUGGAUGAUCCAGACAUACUGACUGACUUUCCAAUCACAGUAUCACAAACUGAGCCCUUUCCAAGCAAAAUGAGAUUGUGAUAAACAGAGUCUGAGAUGUUGUAUUAACACAUGUUGUGUAUGUGUGUGUGUGUGUGUGUGUGUGUUCAUCAGUAUAUCACAAUAUGUCUGAUUUGUCUUAUUAAAUUAAUACAGGCUAUACACAGUUCAUAAUUAUUGUUAAGCAGAUUGAUAUACAUGCAGAUUUGCUGGUUUCAAAUCACCAUUUCUCCUAUGAAGUACAAAUAGCCUAUUAUCUUUUUAAUCUUUGUACUAUAGAUAGUGUCUAGAUGUCAAGGUCCUAGUAAAACCUGCAUGUUAUAUUUCACCAUUGAAACGAGACACUAAAACCAUGUAACAUGGUAAUUAAUAUUUUGCGUAUAUGACUUACCAUGUAAUUUAAUAGAUUGUGUGUAUUUGGUAUGAAUUACCAAAUACAAUCUAAAUCCAAGUAAACACUAUUGAGCACGU